GGCACCGUGGGAUGGGUUGGGACUGGCCUCUUCAACUAGGGAACAACCUUCCAGGCUGAGGGGUAAACAUCACACUCUGUUGCCAGAGUUUUAUGAUGACUUGGAGGAUUUUACACUCAAAUACAGACCGCGGGACCUGAGAGGAAACUCCUAUUUAUAACGAGUCAGCAACAAUAAAUACCUGGGAAACGGUCCAGAAUCUAUGUAACACUUUAUUUUAAACUUGAAUAUCUUAAAUCUUAACAUCUCAAUGCAAUUCUGAUGAGAUUAAUGAGGGAUGAAAACAGAAAACUAAAUCUGAAGAUUUUGUUAUUGAAUGUAUGUGAUUGUCACUGUAGCAGUAACUACUGACAGGUAUGUUGAAUGUAUGUGAUUGUCACUGUAGCAGUAACUACUGACAGGUAUGUUGAAUGUAUGUGAUUGUCACUGUAGCAGUAACUACUGACAGGUAUGUUGAAUGUAUGUGAUUGUCACUGUAGCAGUAACUACUGACAGGUAUGUUGAAUGUAUGUGAUUGUCACUGUAGCAGUAACUACUGACAGGUAUGUUGAAUGUAUGUGAUUGUCACUGUAGCAGUAACCACUGACAGGUAUGUUGAAU